GCCGUAGUUCAGGAGCAGAACAUCUGCUUUGUAGGCAGAAGAUCCCAGGUGCAACCCCUGGAAUCUCCA